rnacentral:rRNA from 1 species
AACGAGUUCUUUUUUUCCUGGGUCGAGAGGCCCGGGUAAUCUGUUGAACGUGCAUCGUGAUAGGGAUAGAUCAUUGCAAUUAUUGAUCUUGAACGAGGAAUUCCUAGUAAACGCGAGUCAUCAGCUCGCAUUGAUUACGUCCCUGCCCUUUGUACACACCGCCCGUCGCACCUACCGAUUGAAUGUUUCGGUGAAGAUUCCGGACCGUGGCUUGCGCGCUUCACGGCGCUCUUGCCGUGGGAAGUUAUCUAAACCUCAACAUUUAGAGGAAGGUGAAGUCGUAACAAGGUUUCCGUAGGUGAACCUGCGGAAGGAUCAU